rnacentral:rRNA from 1 species
UAAAUUUUAUUCUUACUAUCUUUUUUAAUUUAAUUUUAGAGAAGUAUCUUUAAUUAUAGUAUACUAAAGAAAUAAUUUUAUUGGUUAUAGUGAAAUAGUACCGUAGGGGAAUUAUGAUGAAAAAUUUUUAAAAAUUAGUUUUGUAUAAGUAGAUUUUAUUUAUUGUACCUUUUGUAUCAGGGUUGAUUAAAUAUUAUUAAUUUAUUGUUAAGUUCUCGAUUUCAGAAGAGCUAUAUUAUAAUUUAUUUGAUGUUACAUAAUCAUUAAAAAUAUAAGUUAGUGGAGAUAUUCUAUUCGUUUUUAAAGGUAUCUAGUUUUUUAAGAAAUAAAUUUAAUUUAGAUUUUUAAUUUAAUUUAUUAAUUUUUAAUAAAUUAUUUUAUGAAAUUAAGAUUUUAGGGGAUAAGCUCUAAUUUUAUUCUAAAAAUUUAUUUUAUUAAUAAUCUAUGUAGGGUUAAAAGCAUCCAUCAUUAAUAAAUACGUUAUAGUUUAGAUUAUAAUAAUUAGAUUUUCUUUAUUUUAGUAUUUUAUUAAAAUUUCAAUUUUAAUUAGUGAAAUUGAGUAAUAAUGAUUAAAUUAGUAUAAUUAUUAUGUUUAUAAAUUAUUAAUUGAGAUAAUUAGAUAAGGAACUCGGCAAAUUAACACUCGCCUGUUUAACAAAAACAUGUCUUCUUGGUUGAAUUUAUAAGAAGUCUGGCCUGCCCAGUGAUAAUUAUUUAACGGCCGCGGUAUUUUGACCGUGCAAAGGUAGCAUAAUCAUUAGUCUUUUAAUAGAGGGCUGGUAUGAAGGGUUUGACGAGGUGUUGACUGUCUCAUUUAAUUUGAAUUUAGAAUUUACCUUUUUAGUCAAAAGGCUAAAAUUUUAUUGGAAGACGAGAAGACCCUAUAGAGCUUUAUAUUUAUUUUAUUAAUUAUUUUUUUGUUUAUAUUUAUUUAUUAUUAAAUAAAAUAUUGUGUUGGGGUGACAAAAAUAUAUAAUUAACUUUUUUAUUUAAAUUACAUUAAUAUAUGUAUAAUAGAUCCAAUUUUAUUGAUUGUUAGAAUAAGUUACCUUAGGGAUAACAGCGUAAUCUUCCUCCAGAGUUCAUAUUUACAGGAAGGCUUGCGACCCCGAUGUUGGAUUAAGAUGAUAAUUAGGUGUAGCCGCUUAAUGUAUAAGCUGUUCGACCUUUAAAUUCUUACAU